rnacentral:tRNA from 1 species
GCCUGAGUGGCUCAGUCAGUUGAGUGUCCGACUUCGGCUCAGGUCAUGAUCUUGCGGUUUGUGAGUUCAAGCCCCACCUCGGGCU